rnacentral:tRNA from 1 species
CAUUAGAUGACUGAAAGUAAGUACUGGUCUCUUAAACCAUUUAAUAGUAACGUAACGCCUACUUCUAAUGA